rnacentral:piRNA from 1 species
UGUUGUUAUAAAUCCCUGCCUG